rnacentral:rRNA from 1 species
GGUUUGAUCCUGGCUCAGACUGAACGCUGGCGGGAUGCUUCGGCCACGCAAGCCGAACGGCAGCACGGACUUCGGUCUGGUGGCGAGUGGCGAACGGUGAGUAAUGUAUCGGAACGUGCCUAGUAGUGGGGAUAACUACGUGAAAGGGCUAAUACCGCAUAAUGGGCCCUUCGGGGAAAGCGGGGACCUUCGGGCCUCGCACUAUUAGAGCGGGGCUGAUAUCGGGAUUGAAGCAGCCAGGCAACGGCUCACCAAGGCGACGAUCCGUAGCUGGUUUGAGAGGACGACCAGCCACACUGGGACUGAGACACGGCCCAGACUCCUACGGGAGGCAGCAGUGGGGAAUUUUGGACAAUGGGGGAACUCCAUCCAGCUAUCUCGCGUAAAAGUAGUGAUGAAGGCCUUCGGGUUGUAAAGCACUUUUUGGCAGUGAAAGAAACGGCACGGGAUAAUACCCCGUGCAAUUGACGGUACCUGCAGAAUAAGCACCGCUAACUACGUGCCACAGCAGCCGCGGUAUAUGUAGGGGUAAGCGUUAAUCGGAAUUACUGGGCGUAAAGCGUGCGCAGGCGGUUCGGAAAGAAAGAUGUGAAAUCCCAGAGCUUAACUUUGGAACUGCAUUUUUAACUACUGAGCUAGAGUGUGUCAGGAGGGAGGUGGAAUUUCCGCGUGUAGCAGUGAAAUGCGUAGAUAUGCGGAGGAACACCGAUGGCGAAGGCAGCCUCUGGGAUAACACUGACGCUCAUGCACGAAAGCGUGGGAGCAAACAGGAUUAGAUGCUACCCUGGUAGUCCACGCCCUAAACGAUGUCAAAUUAGCUGUUGCCUUUCGGGCCUUGGUAGCGCAGCUAACGCGUGAAGUUGACCGCCUGGGGAGUACGGUCGCAAGAUUAAAACUCAAAGGAAUUGACGGGGAUCCCGCACAAGCGGUGGGAUUACGGAUUAAUUCGAUGCAACGCGAAAAACCUUACCUACUCCUUGACAUGUCUGGAAUCCCGAAGAGAUUUGGGAUGCCGCAGCAGAACAACCGGAACACAGGUGCUGCAUGAAGUUGUCGUCAGCUCGUGUCGUGAGAUGUUGGGUUAAGUCCCGCAACGAUGCAACCCUUGUCAUUAUUGCUACGAAAGGGCACUCUAUCGAGACUGCCGGUGAUAAAAACUGGAGGAAGGUGGGGAUGACGUCAAGUCCUCAUGGCCCUUAUGGGUAGGGCUUCUACACGUCAUACAAUGGUCGGGACAGAGGGUCGCCAACCCGCGAGGGGGGAGCCAAUCCCAGAAACCCGAUCGUAGUCCGGAUCGCAGUCUGCAACUCGACUGCGUGAAGUCGGAAUCGCUAGUAAUCGCGGAUCAGCAUGUCGCGGUGAAUACGUUCCCGGCCCUAGGCCCGCCCGGUCACACUGAUGGGAGUGGCUUAACAGAAGUAGUUAGCCUAACCGUAAGGAGGGCGAUUACCACGGUAGGAUUCAUGACUGGGGUGAAGUCGUAACAAGGUAG